GGAUCCAGACUUUGAUUAUGGCUCAGGAUGAACGCUAGCUACAGGCUUAACACAUGCAAGUCGAGGGGCAGCGGGAUUGAAGCUUGCUUCAAUUGCCGGCGACCGGCGCACGGGUGAGUAACGCGUAUCCAACCUUCCGUACACUCAGGGAUAGCCUUUCGAAAGAAAGAUUAAUACCUGAUAGUAUCUUAAGCACACAUGUAAUUAAGAUUAAAGAUUUAUCGGUGUACGAUGGGGAUGCGUUCCAUUAGGUAGUAGGCGGGGUAACGGCCCACCUAGCCAACGAUGGAUAGGGGUUCUGAGAGGAAGGUCCCCCACAUUGGAACUGAGACACGGUCCAAACUCCUACGGGAGGCAGCAGUGAGGAAUAUUGGUCAAUGGACGAGAGUCUGAACCAGCCAAGUAGCGUGAAGGAUGAAGGUCCUACGGAUUGUAAACUUCUUUUAUAAGGGAAUAAACCCUCCCACGUGUGGGAGCUUGUAUGUACCUUAUGAAUAAGCAUCGGCUAACUCCGUGCCAGCAGCCGCGGUAAUACGGAGGAUGCGAGCGUUAUCCGGAUUUAUUGGGUUUAAAGGGAGCGCAGACGGGUCGUUAAGUCAGCUGUGAAAGUUUGGGGCUCAACCUUAAAAUUGCAGUUGAUACUGGCGUCCUUGAGUGCGGUUGAGGUGUGCGGAAUUCGUGGUGUAGCGGUGAAAUGCUUAGAUAUCACGAAGAACUCCGAUUGCGAAGGCAGCACACUAAUCCGUAACUGACGUUCAUGCUCGAAAGUGUGGGUAUCAAACAGGAUUAGAUACCCUGGUAGUCCACACGGUAAACGAUGGAUACUCGCUGUUGGCGAUAUACUGUCAGCGGCUUAGCGAAAGCGUUAAGUAUCCCACCUGGGGAGUA
rnacentral:rRNA from 1 species